GCCGGGUGUGGUGGCACGCGCCUGUAGUCCCAGCUACUCGGGAGGCUGAGGCAGGAGAAUUGCUCGAACUCAGGGGCUGGAGGUUGCAGUGAGCUGAGAUCAUGCCACUGCACUCCAGCCUGGGUCAAAGAGCGAAACUCUGUCUCAA
ensembl:misc_RNA Metazoa_SRP Metazoan signal recognition particle RNA